rnacentral:rRNA from 1 species
AGAUUGAACGCUGGCGGCAUGCCUAACACAUGCAAGUCGAACGGGAGUAGCAAUACUCUAGUGGCGGACGGGUGAGGAAUACGUAGGAAUUUGCCCUUAAGUGGGGGAUAACCCGGGGAAACCCGGAUUAAUACCGCAUGACCUCGAAAGAGCAAAGUGGGGGAUCGCAAGACCUCACGCUUUUGGAGAAGCCUACGUCGGAUUAGCUAGUUGGUGAGGUAAUGGCUCACCAAGGCGACGAUCCGUAACUGGUCUGAGAGGAUGAUCAGUCACACCGGAACUGAGACACGGUCCGGACUCCUACGGGAGGCAGCAGUGGGGAAUAUUGGACAAUGGGCGCAAGCCUGAUCCAGCAAUGCCGCGUGUGUGAAGAAGGCCUCGGGUUGUUAAAGCGA